rnacentral:rRNA from 1 species
GAUGAACGCUGGCGGCGUGCCUAAUACAUGCAAGUCGAGCGAACAGACGAGGAGCUUGCUCCUCUGACGUUAGCGGCGGACGGGUGAGUAACACGUGGAUAACCUACCUAUAAGACUGGGAUAACUUCGGGAAACCGGAGCUAAUACCGGAUAAUAUUUUGAACCGCAUGGUUCAAUAGUGAAAGACGGUUUUGCUGUCACUUAUAGAUGGAUCCGCGCCGCAUUAGCUAGUUGGUAAGGUAACGGCUUACCAAGGCAACGAUGCAUAGCCGACCUGAGAGGGGGAUCGGCCACACUGGAACUGAGAAACGGUCCAGACUCCUACGGGAGGCAGCAGUAGGGAAUCUUCCGCAAUGGGCGAAAGCCUGACGGAGCAACGCCGCGGGAGUGAUGAAGGCCUUCGGAUCGUAAAACUCUGUUAUUAGGGAAGAACAAAUGUGUAAGUAACUAUGAAAGUCUUGACGGUACCUAAGCAGAAAGCAACGGCUAACUACGU